GACGAACGCUGGCGGCGUGCUUAACACAUGCAAGUCGAACGGAAAGGCCCUGCUUUUGUGGGGUGCUCGAGUGGCGAACGGGUGAGUAACACGUGAGUAACCUGCCCUUGACUUUGGGAUAACUUCAGGAAACUGGGGCUAAUACCGGAUAGGAGCUCCUGCUGCAUGGUGGGGGUUGGAAUGUUUCGGCGGUUGGGGAUGGACUCGCGGCUUAUCAGCUUGUUGGUGGGGUAGUGGCUUACCAAGGCUUUGACGGGUAGCCGGCCUGAGAGGGUGACCGGCCACAUUGGGACUGAGAUACGGCCCAGAAUGCUACGGGAGGCAGCAGUGGGGAAUAUUGCACAAUGGGAGGAAGACUGAUGAAGCAACGCCGCGUGAGGGAUGACGGCCUUCGGGUUGUAAACCGCUUUCGCCUGUGACGAAGCGUGAGUGACGGUAAUGGGUAAAGAAGCACCGGCUAACUACGUG
rnacentral:rRNA from 1 species